CUCUGUCCCAAGGAAGCAAAAGCCAUAGGGUGCUGUGAGCAUCAGGACAGUCGUGUGCAGGCGGGACCUGCCCUUCUCACAUCUGUGUGCUGCAGGGAGAAACAUCACUGCCUCUCUUUUGAAACUCUCCUGCAAAAAAACUGCAAAAAAGGAAUGGUGUUUUCAGCAGAUCUGUAAUUAACCACAAUCCGUGCUUAAAUGAGAUGGAAACAUUCUCAUCUUGGGAAAAAACUUCUUGUUCUGCUUUUAAACGAGGAGGUUUCCAUGACAGUCAGCUAUAAAACCUUUAAGAGUUGCUGAUGCCAGCUAAAUCACAGAUUUAAGCUGCUGCAAAGGUCUCCACAGGAGAGCUCUACAAUGACUUACUCAGGUCAGCCCCUGAGUUUGUUCCUGUCAGGCUGCUGUGACCCGCUCAGGUCCCUGGUACAGACACUGGGCACGGCUGUGUCCCAACAGUCCAGGCUCUCCUGGGCACCCAACACUGGAAUUAGCACCUUAAAAUACUCCCUCAGAUGCAGAGUCAGGAAAGCUGUUCUAGGGAAAAGUACAAAAAAUACCAGUGCAGCAGUGAGAAGAAAUGGAAGAGGGAUUUUGUGUGUUGAAAGAGCAGAUCAUAAGCUGGGGAAACCCCUGUGCAAGGCAGGGAAUGCUGAGCAAUUGUUUCAAGAGAAACAUCAACACUCACCCAGGUGAGUGCCCAACCUGCACUGGGCACCAUCGACCCCUUCAGCUUUUAUCUUCUCCCUCAAACCACACAUUUGUCUGCAGAUCUGGGCUACAAACACAUGGCUCAGGAGGAGCUCUGAGACAAGUGAAAAUAUGCUGAAGAUGUGACAGGAAGCAGACUCCACAAAAUGGAGCUUUAAAUGGAUGGAUUUAGAAAAGUGGAAAGGGGGAAUGACAAUACCUGAGGGGAAAGGAAAGAGGGCCUGAAUAAAAUUUUAGCUUGUAAAAUGUAUCAUUACUAAAUGAUAGUGUGUAUAUGACAACUUAAUGUGCUUCUAACCUAACCAAACAGCUUUCUUUAUGAGGAAAAUAUUAAAUUUUCUUUAAAUAUAAGGUAACAGUGAUGCUUACCCAAAUAUCACAUUAUUCUGUAACCCUGAUACCUCAGGAUACUGGCUGACUCUAAGAAUGAGUUUCACUGAUUCUGUCCUCAAACUAUCAUUUAUCACUUCAAAAGUGGCAGUCAUCAUGUAGUUCUGCUCUAUUUUACGAGUUUGAAUCCAGGACAAUUACAUCACACUCGUGAACUUACAAAGGUGAGAACAGAGUGGUAGGUGCUUGAGGGGUGGAUUUCUCCAAUGCUGAGCUAACAGUGAAGUACUCCCGAUCUCCACAAAUUUCUCCUGGGCUCUUGACACCAUGUCAGAAGUGUCUGCUUCACAGUGAAUGACAGGAAGACAUAAUUCCAUUCACUACAGUGAGAUGUUUCAAGCUGCCUUAAAACACAAAUCUGUCUUCCCCAGCCUUCUCUCUCACAGUUUUAUUCCCCUUUGCCAGCAGUGAUGAGAGAACAGAGCAGCAGCCCAGGACAAACACAGGGGUUCUUCUGAACCUGUCACCAGGUUGUGAUAAAGAACUAACAACAAAUGCUUCAGGUUUCUAACCUUUAUAUACAGGAUUAAUUUUAUGAUUUAAUUGGAGCUCCCUUUAUUAAAAUUGCUAUAUAAGGACUAACCAUUGUGGUUAGAAAACUCCAAGAUUGUAAUGCUGCAUUGAAGUUGGACAUAUUUAAGCUUUGCAAGUUUGAGGAAUUUGGGGAUUUUAAUCUCUAAGGUGAAAUGUCUCUAUCAUACUACAGGUCUGGAGUUGUUGGGAGCACACAGAGAUGUCGCUUGAGGAUAAUGCUUCUGAUAAAUACUACUGCAUCACUGUGGAGGGGAAGAUCUGCAUUUUAAGAUUAAGCAGUGUAGCAGAGAGCAAGAACAGGAGACUGCUUUUGAUUUCGGGAAACAGAAUGUUCCUGAAAUACAGCAAUGGUCAAUGAAAUGACAGCAAAAGGAAGGAUUUACUGUGGCACAGCAAACACAAAGCCUGAAAAAUGAACUUUGCUGGAGAUGCUGUGCGUGGGAAACGAAAGAGGAAGCACUGUUUUGUCAUACAUCACCUGUAAGAUGUAAACCACUCCAUCUAAUAAUGCACUGCUGGGUACUUCAUUCCAGCAGAUACACAGAAAACUAAAGUUACUUGAAGAGAGGUGUAUCAAAAGGAUAAUGGACUUUAUACAGACUAACAAAUCAGUGUGAAUGAUGCAGGUAUUUCAGCAUCUCUCUUUUGUUAUUGAAACUUAGUGUCAGAAAUGUUGAAAUUUUUUAAGAUGUGGAAGUUUUCUCCUUUUUUGUGCACUGUCAGGGUUCAACCAAUGCUGAUCCUGUAUGGAAAGCUCUUCAUAACAGAAUCACAUCAGAUUUCACAAUGUUCUUGUUUCCAUAAGCAGGAAUAACUGCAAUAAUGUGCAACAUCUCUGCACAUCUCUGCAUGUGGCAGUGUAUGCUACCACAUUUUCCUGACUGCAGGUGCCUUCAGGGCUUCUGCCUCAGUCUGCCUGAAAAUGCCUCAGAAAAUACAGAAAAUGUGUCUAGAGAUGCAGAGAAAUGCCCAUUUUUAAUAUAAAUUCUAGGAAUGGCACUGUUGUCCAGACAAAUUGAAUCCAGUAAAUGCACACUUGAGAGAGCUAUUAAUUGUUUAUGUCAGAGCUGCCAAGCCGCAUGGUCGGUGGUGUUCCACAAAUCAAGCAGCCCAACUAUCCAUACUUCUUCCUAUUUUAUAUUUUAGCAAAGAAAGGCAUGAAUGUUCAUUGGCUACUGAUUACAAUGUUCUCUUAUUAAUUAGUAUUCUUUCUUCUUAAUGAGUUAAUGAGUCUCUCGCUUCUCGUGCUAAUUACUGCUCUAUCUCUCUCCUCCUUUGGCUCGGUGCUUUCCUGUGUGGGGGCUCCAUCACUUGGGGGUCCUGAUCUGCCCCUGCCGGAAUUGCCCUUUAGCCAGGCCGAGCUGGUCCCACACCGUUAUCGAGUUCCUUUAUUUGUCUCUUCCUUAUCUGGGGGUUCUGCCCGAUGUCCUCGUGGCCCAGGAAUUCUGCAUUCCGCGUGGAUCAGUGGAAAUCCUUCUGGCCGAGCUUUGUUGACCUCGCCCGGGGCCGAGAUCAUUGGAACGUGUCCGGCCCCAAACCUUAACAAGGCAACUCUGCUGAGCGGGAAUUUGUGUUUCGAGCAGCUGGACAUCACUUAGCGCUUGUGGCCUGCUCUGUUUCACGGAUUAAAUCUCUCUCCUUGUUGAUCAGGCUUGAAUGGGACAGAGAUCAGACAGCAAAGAACACCUUAACAAAAUUUUACAUACUCCACAUUUUACGAGGAGUAGUGCCAAGGCAUAGGCUGGAUAUGAUUAAACUCUCCAAGAGCUCUUUUGAGUAGAAUCCUACUGGGAAUGGGGUUCCCAUGAGGGCUGUAUUGCCAAUGGUUAGACAUGGAGUGGUUGUUGAAGUAUUUUUUGUAGGCCUCCUGUUUUUCUUCUUCUCUGUUCAGGCUGUGGAUCCUGAGCAGAGGAGUAACAUCGCUUUAAAGAAUGAGUGGGUUAAAAUGUGUCCUGCUGGGGACAGGUUUACUCCGAUUGUGACUAGUAUUAGGGCUAAAUGAUUUGACAUGGAGAAGGCCGUGUUUAAUACCGUUCUCUCUGAGGCCUCCUCAUGUGGCGACAAAUGGUGUGGAGGGGGUCCCCAGGAGCGGCACAGGGAAGGGCGGGGGCUGCGUCGGUGAACACGGGGUGGGUGCGAGUGAGGGGGAGAAUUCCGGGUGCUGCCCACCUACCCUGCUGGCUUCGAGUCUCCAGCAGUGCAGCUGCUGCUCUCAGCCAGGGCCGAGCGAGGCAGAGAAGCGGCGGGUCUCAGCGUCCGCCCCGGGGCACGGCACCGCAACCGGGGACCCGCUCCUCAGGGCGGGGACCCGCUCCUCAGGGCGGGGACCCGCUCCGCGCGUGCGCGCUGGGAGCAGCGGCCAUGGCGCGGCCGGGCCGGGCCGGCCUG